AGGAACAACAGCAGUGGGUUGGCCAGCGCUGGAGCCCUGGAUUCAGCUCCCGCAGUAACUACAGAGCUCUGAGUCUGCAGGGGCCUGGAUGCUCCUGGGGCGGG
rnacentral:pre_miRNA from 1 species